rnacentral:rRNA from 1 species
CAGUUCAGAUUGCAGGCUGCAACUCGCCUGCAUGAAGUCGGAAUUGCUAGUAAUCGCAGAUCAGCAUGCUGCGGUGAAUACGUUCCCGGGCCUUGUACACACCGCCCGUCACACCAUGGGAGUCGGUAACACCCGAAGUCGGUAGCCUAACCGUAAGGAGGGCGCCGCCGAAGGUGGGGAUUGAUGACUGGGGUGAAGUCGUAACAAGGUAAC